AUGCCCACGGCCCGGAAUUUCUCCUAAGCCCUGCCCUGUCUGUGCGGCCUCCCACAGAAAAUCAAGUGUCGAACUCACGUAGCUGCUCGCAGAGCUCCUGAAGCUCCAAUCCUCGGCGUGGCAGCUAAAGACUAACGCUGCUCUGGCAUCUCGGAAGCCCCCUGGACCAUCACAGACGCCAAACUUCAGAGACCAUCAAGGUGUAUGACAAGUGUUCCAGCCACUCCAGGUGAAGACACCACCCAGGGCCAUCAAGGAUCUUCCCUGCCUCCACUAAACAGAGCAGGGCAAAAGUUGUGUGAUCCCCAAUAGGUAGGGACUAUGCCCCAAGUCAGCAGGAAGCCAACACAGAAGAAUGACCAUUGGUUCCUCUUCUUCCCAUAAAGAUUUAUGGGGAUCAUGGCUUGCAGAGGGGAGAUGAGGCAGGAGAAUAGGGCACGAGGCAGGCAGGGAACAAAAGGCGGCUGAUCCAGGCUGACUUCUUAGAACUGAAUUGAAUGAAAGCACCUCAGCAAUGACAGGAAUGUGAAUGGCUGUGUAACUCCACUUUGUCCUCUCCAUUACUGCCAUCUCUACUUUGUAACUUCACUUUCAUCCUCUCCAUUUACAUAGAUCACACACCAAGUAAUAUCCUCUCCAUCUACAGUACGGAGCAUUUUGAGUAAAUGAUUCUGUGACUUCACUUCAUUCUCUUCAUUUACAUGGAAUAUUUGCCAAGUAACCAAUGGGAAACCUCUAGAGUACUGAAACCCCAGAAAAUUCUAUAAGCAGGGCUCUUGAGCCUCUGUACUUGGUCUGCUCCCACCCUGUGGUGUGUACUUUUGUUCUCAAUAAAUCCCUGCUUUUGCUUUCCUC